CCUCUGGAGGAGGAGGAGCUGGUGUCCUACGUUCUUGCUGGGCUUGAUUAUGAGUUCAAUCCGCUCGUGUCAGCCCUUGUGGCUCGAGUGGAACCUGUUACGAUGGGCGAGCUCUAUGCUCAACUGCUUAGUUUUGAAA